rnacentral:lncRNA from 1 species
GUGUGUACUGGACAGUUGCACUUCUCAUGCCUCACCGUCUGAAGGGCCUGGGCUGUGUAAUGUGACAGUAGUACUGGAAAUAGAAGCAGAGUGUCUUGUGUUUAUAUGGACUCAGUUCAUGUCCAUUAGACAGUGAAAAGAACUACAUAGUGGUGGAAAGUUUUCAACAACAUUUGUGGAAGAGUCAUUCUGUCCAGGCCUUGAAUAAUUGGCUGGAUUUUGAAAACUGGACAGAGGUAGGCAAAGGCAUGUUAGAUGGAUUGUAGAGAUUAACCAAAGGGCUGGAGAGAGUGAAGGCCAGAGCUCAUUCAAGAAAAGGCAAUUAAUCCAGGAUGACAUGAAGGUAAGAAAGUACCCAGAUGGGGAUUAUACCGUCAAAGUCUAACUGGGAGUGUUUUUGAUUCCAGAGGAAGAAGUUUGAACUUAUUUUAUAUGUCAUGGGAAAUGCCUUGGUCAAAUUUAUGUCUCCGAAGGUGAUGUUUGUGGCUUUCCAGAGGAGGGACUGAAGAGAAGAGGCUGGCAGAGGAAAAACAAGUCACAUGAAUUAAUUAGCAAGCAACGAGAGCCUCCACCGAGGCACUGCUAACAGAGAACAAGUGAAAUGAGCUGACUCAUUAAGGACAUUCUGACAUGCAAUUCCGGCUAACACCACUGCUACUCCUUACCUCAUCUCUGUCAGAUGGAAACCACAAGGCAGACGCAGGCAUAGGUCCUAUUAAGCCUGCUCUUUGGUUCAGCGUCACAGACUGGUGAGGCUGUGACUCCCACCAGACCAGCAUCUGUUUAGACAAACUUUGUUGUGGGUUAACGUGCAUGUGAGGUUAGGGAUGUUGCUGACAGAUCACUUGAAAGCCAAAGCCACAAAACUGCUGGGAAUGGUCUCAGCACGUCAGAGCUUUGGAGCACUUGCCACAUAACUCAAAAGACUCCAAACCCAGGGUAAGUUGGUCACAGAGUGGGUUAGAUUGACAGUAGGCCACCUGCCAACCCCCAAAAUAAUUCUGUGCAAUGAGGUGCCCUGUGAAACACCACCCAGUCCCCACGGCAGCAGCCCAUCCCUCUCAGCUAUUAGUAUCUCUCUAAGAGAACCAAGCCUUAACUAAAGAUGCUAAUGUGCAUAUAAGAAAAAACUGGAUGUUUUCCUUUUGUCUUGUUCUAUGUCUUGAGAGCUUGGCCUUGUGACUAGGAGAGAAUAUCCUUCCUGGUCUCCCAGCAACCAGAAGGUGCACAUACCAGAAUGCAUCUUGGUGGGCAGUCUGUGGGCUGGGGUUCCAAGAC